GACGAACCGAGCGAACGUUGUUCGGAAUCACUGGGCUUAAAGGGCGCGUAGGCGGGCAUUCAAGUCUAUGGUGAAAUCCGGCAGCUCAACUGUCGAACUGCCGUGGAUACUGGAUGUCUCGAGGGAGGUAGGGGCGUGCGGAACUAAUGGUGGAGCGGUGAAAUGCGUUGAUAUCAUUAGGAACUCCGGUGGCGAAGGCGGCACGCUGGACCUCUUCUGACGCUGAGGCGCGAAAGCCAGGGGAGCAAACGGG
rnacentral:rRNA from 1 species